UGAGGAAUAUUGCUCAAUGGGCGAAAGCCUGAAGCAGCGACGCCGCGUGAGGGAUGAAAUCCGUUAGGAUGUAAACCUCUUUUACAGGGGAAGAAUAGCCCGGUUACCGGGUCUGACUGUACCCUGUGAAUAAGCACCGGCCAACUACGUGCCAGCAGCCGCGGUAAUACGUAGGGUGCGAGCGUUGUUCGGAAUUACUGGGUGUAAAGGGUCCGCAGGCGGGCGAGCAAGUCGGUGGUGAAAGUUCAUGGCUUAACUGUGAAAUUGCCUUCGAUACUGCUCGUCUUGAGUCCGAGAGAGGAUGAUGGAAUUCAUGGUGUAGCAGUGAAAUGCGUAGAGAUCAUGAAGAACACCAGUUGCGAAGGCGGUCAUCUGGCUCGGUACUGACGCUCAGGGACGAAAGCGUGGGUAGCAAACAGGAUUAGAUACCCUGGUAGUCCACGCCUUAAACGAUGGAUAUUCGGUGUCGGUCCCGCU
rnacentral:rRNA from 1 species